GAUGAAGAACGUAGCGAAAUGCGAUACGUAAUGUGAAUUGCAGAUUUCAGUGAAUCAUCGAAUCUUUGGACGCACAUUGCGCCCGCUAGUAUUCUGGCGGGCAUGCCUGUUCGAGCGUCAUUUCAACCAUCAAGCCCUAGGCUUGCGUUGGAGCCCUGCGGCUGCCGCAGGCUCCCAAAUCCAGUGGCGGGCUCGUCGUCGUACCGAGUGCAGUAAACAUCCUCGCUCAGGGAACGUGACGGGUUCUUGCCGUGAAACCCCCCACAUAUCAAGGUUGACCUCGGAUCAGGUAGGAAUACCCGCUGAACUUAAGCAUAUCAAUAAGCGGAGGA
rnacentral:misc_RNA from 1 species